rnacentral:rRNA from 1 species
UGAGGAAUAUUGGACAAUGGGCGCAAGCCUGAUCCAGCCAUGCCGCGUGCAGGAAGAAGCAUCUAUGGUGUGUAAACUGCUUUUGUACGGGAAGAAACACUCCUUCGUGAAGGAGCUUGACGGUACCGUAAGAAUAAGGAUCGGCUAACUCCGUGCCAGCGGCCGCGGUAAUACGGAGGAUCCAAGCGUUAUCCGGAAUCAUUGGGUUUAAAGGGUCCGUAGGCGGUUUAGUAAGUCAGUGGUGAAAGCCCAUCGCUCAACGAUGGAACGGCCAUUGAUACUGCUAGACUUGAAUUACAAGGAAGUAACUAGAAUAUGUAGUGUAGCGGUGAAAUGCUUAGAUAUUACAUGGAAUACCAAUUGCGAAGGCAGGUUACUACUUGUGGAUUGACGCUGAUGGACGAAAGCGUGGGGAGCAAACA